GCUCCAUUUUCAUGGAUGAAGCCCAAAUGGUUUUUUCAAAAACUCAACUCUUUCCUUCCCUAUUGCACUUCCCCUGUCUCCUCUCCACUCAAAACCCUAAUUCUGCAAAACCCAUACUCAGAAACCUCAAAAUUUGCCAUCAAUCAAGUAGAUAUAAGUUUCCUUCUCUCCCUUUGUGGAAGAGAAGGCUACCUUCAUCUGGGUUCUUCCCUUCAUGCUUCCAUCAUAAAAAAUUUUGGAUUUUUGGAUGGCAAUAAUCGGGAUAAUCUCCGAAAUGUCAUUGUUGUUUGGAAUUCUCUCCUCUCAAUGUACUCGAGGUGUGGGGAGUUGAGGGAUGCAACUAAGGUGUUUGAUCAUAUGCCCAUGAAAGACACCAUUUCGUGGAAUUCGAGGAUUUCGGGGUUGUUGGGUAAUGGGGAUAUUGAGAUGGGGUUUAGGGUUUUUAAACAACUGUAUGAAUCGGGUAUUUAUCAGUUUGAUCAAGCCACUCUGACUACUGUUUUAACAGCUUGUGAUAAGCCAGAGUUUUGUUAUGUGAGUAAGAUGAUUCACAGUUUAGUGUUUUUAUAUGGGUAUGAGCGGGAAAUUACAGUGGGGAAUGCAUUGAUCACAUCAUAUUUUAGAUGUGGCUGUUGUAGUUCAGGGAGGCGGGUUUUUGAUGAGAUGUCUGAAAAGAAUGUAGUUACUUGGACGGCUGUGAUCUCAGGUCUUUCACAAGGUCAAUUUUAUGAGGAGAGUUUGAAAUUGUUUGGAAAAAUGCGUGAUGGACCAGUGGAUCCAAAUUCCUUGACGUAUUUGAGUUCCUUGAUGGCAUGUUCUGGUUUGCAGGCAAUAAGGGAAGGGCGUCAAAUUCAUGGGCUUGUUUGGAAAUUGGGAGUUCAUUUUGAUUUGUGUAUUGAGAGUGCACUAAUGGACAUGUAUUCUAAAUGUGGUAGCUUGGAAGAUGCAUGGAAGAUUUUUGAGUCUGCAGAAGAGGUUGAUGAGGUUUCCAUGACUGUAAUUCUUGUUGGUUUGGCACAGAAUGGGUUUGAGGAGGAAUCUAUACAGGUUUUUGUUAAAAUGGUAAAGAAUGGAGUUGUGAUUGACCCCAACAUGAUUUCAGCGAUUCUAGGGGUAUUUGGCAUUGAUACUUCGUUGGCUCUUGGUAAGCAAAUUCACUCGUUGAUCAUCAAAAAAAGCUUUGGUUCUAAUUACUUUGUCAACAAUGGGCUGAUAAACAUGUAUUCGAAGUGCGGAGAUUUGGAUGACUCAAUCAAAAUAUUCUGCUGGAUGCCUCAAAGGAAUUCAGUCUCAUGGAACUCCAUGAUUGCAGCUUUUGCUCGCCAUGGGAAUGGUUCUAGAGCACUUCAGUUGUAUGAAGAGAUGAGAUUAGAAGGUGUUUGGCCAACAGAUGUUACAUUUCUCUCUCUGCUUCAUGCUUGUGCCCAUGUGGGUUUAGUUGAAAAGGGCAUGGGGUUCUUGGAAUCCAUGGCUAAAGAUUAUGGGAUUGGUCCAAGGAUGGAACACUAUGCUUGUGUUGUUGACAUGAUGGGCCGAGCAGGGCUUCUUAAUGAAGCCAAGAAGUUUAUUGAGAGAUUGCCUGAAAAACCUGGUAUUCUUGUUUGGCAAGCAUUGCUUGGAGCUUGUAGCAUUCAUGGUAAUUCUGAAAUGGGAAAAUAUGCAGCUAAUCAAUUGUUUUUGCAAGCACCUGAGAGCCCAGCCCCUUAUAUUUUACUGGCUAAUAUAUAUUCUUCUGAAGGGAAAUGGAAAGAGAGAGCAAGGACCAUCAAGAAAAUGAAAGAUAUGGGUGUGACAAAAGAAACAGGCAUAAGUUGGAUUGAGAUUGAGAAACAGAUCCACAGUUUUGUUGUUGAGGACAGAAUGCAUCCACAUGCCGAGAUUAUUUAUGGCGUUCUAGGGGAGUUGUUUAAACUGAUGAUGGAUGAAGGGUAUGUGCCUGAUAAGAGGUUCAUUCUCUAUUACUUGGAUCAACAUGGAAAAGAAUAGUCAAUAGUUAUUCUAAGAGAAAUUUGAAAAACGAAAUCAGCUUUUAGGAAUGCAUCAUAUGGUGCAAUUGGUAUGACCUUGAAAAUUGCAAUUGCUCGCUCAGACAGAUGGGGGCCAACAUUUCUUCAUUUACUGAAGAAGCAUGAAUAAGAAACUCAACAUUUCAUUGAAGAUGCAAACUAUUUCAUGAGAGUGACUUUACACCUUCAUUGCUUUAUUUUAUCAAAUGCUGAAGCCUAAAAUGAAGAUGUUCGUGAAUGGAAAGUUCUGCAAGGAUCUAAAGCUUGCUUCAGCUGAUGAUUUUUUCUACUAUGGGCUCCACAUUCCAGGAAACAUAACGAACCCAGUUGGCUCAAUGGUCAC